UUUUUUUUUUUUUUAACUUACUCUACCUUUAAACAAAUUUAUUUAUUUUCUUAUUCUCCAUGUAUUUAGGGUGCAAUAUAUUCACAUUUGGAAGCAAUACAAUUGCAUUUCUUUAAAACACGGAAUAAGUUUCAGACUUUUCACCAUCAGGUCAAACUGGUCUCUCAUUUGACAUUUCAUUUUCUUUUCCCUAAUUUGGGCAAAAGGUUAAAAAUAGUUUAUUCUUCCUGAGCAGAGACAACUGCAAAUCAACAGAAGUACAUAGCAGUAGCCAUAACACUAAUGGCCAAUAACUUUUGAGUGUUCUACAUACACUAGGCACAGUUCUAGGUGUUCAGCAAUGACUUAGCUCCUUUAAUCUUCACAGUGACUUGCUGAGGUUGGUACUAUUUAUCAUUCCCAUUUUCACUGACAAGGAAGAGAAAAGUUAAAGAACUACUUGAGAUUACCCAGCUGGCACAUGGCCAGGCGAAGAUUGGAACAAAGCCUGCGGAGCUCAGAACCUGUGCAGUUGACUGUCACAUUAUAUCACUCUUACCUCCCAGCGAUCUACAGUAAAGCCCCCACCAAGGGACUGAGGAGAGAGGGAAGGCUUCAGGAAACUUGGACUAGAGAGUACGCUGUAAAGAAAGGCCUUGUGAGGACAUAACCAGGAAGAGAGUCCUCACCAGA
rnacentral:lncRNA from 10 species